CGGCGAAGUGAAGCGGCAACAGCUCAAAUUUGAAAUCUGGCUCUUUUUAAGGGUCCGAGUUGUAAUUUGCAGAGGAUGCUUUGGCAUUGGCGGCGGUCUAAGUUCCUUGGAACAGGACAUCACAGAGGGUGAGAAUCCCGUACGUGGUCGCCUGCCCUUGCCGUGUAAAGCUCCUUCGACGAGUCAAGUUGUUUGGGAAUGCAGCUCUAAAUGGGAGGUAAAUUUCUUCUAAAGCUAAAUACUGGCCAGAGACCGAUAGCGCACAAGUAGAGUGAUCGAAAGAUGAAAAGUACUUUGGAAAGAGAGUCAAAAAGCACGUGAAAUUGUUGAAAGGGAAGCGCUUGCAGCCAGACUUGCCCGCAGUUGCUCACCUAGGCUUUCGCCUGGGGCACUCUUCUGCGGGCAGGCCAGCAUCAGUUUGGGCGGUUGGAUAAAGGCCUCUGUCACGUAUCUCCCUUCGGGGUGACCUUAUAGGGGAGGCGUAAUGCAACCAGCCCGGACUGAGGUCCGCGCAUCUGCUAGGAUGCUGGCGUAAUGGCUGUAAGCGGC
rnacentral:rRNA from 1 species